AACCUGCCCUUUGCACUGGGAUAGCCUCGGGAAACCGAAGGUUAAUACCGGAUACUCCAUAUCCAUCGCAUGAUAGAUAUGGGAAAGCUCCGGCGGCAAAGGAUGGGCCCGCGGCCUGUUAGCUAGUUGGUGGGGUAGUGGCCUACCAAGGCAAUGAUGGGUAGCCGGGUUGAGAGACCGACCGGCCAGAUUGGGACUGAGACACGGCCCAGACUCCUACGGGAGGCAGCAGGG
rnacentral:rRNA from 1 species